GCAUUUUCCGGUGUGGAUUGAUGACACUACCGGGUCUCGCCUCCCACGCCUGCCCUGCCCAGACUCACACAGGAGCUGCUAACAGAUAAGCAGUGGGGGACCUGCAGAGUUCUUUUCUACUUGGAAGACCAGCCUGACAUGUUCCACUGUGAGCACAGCCGUUUCAUAGCUGAGAGUAAAUAUUUCAAGGUGUCUGUUCUCACCAUAUCCAGAAGAGAGAGGCACAAGGAGGUGCUUGAUAAAAAGAGCCAGGCAAACCCCACAUAAGAUCCGGCCACCAAAGCCUUCAUUGAAUUGGACUACCAUUUACGCCGUCUUUCCAUGUGGACCUCUCCAUACUGGACAGUUUAACACACCACAAAUCAAGGACAGCAGGGAGGAUGAGGUAUGAUUGCUUUCCCACCCAGGAAGUAAUCACAGUGGAGCUGCCACCGCUCUGAUUAAGACUGAUAAAUAUCGACGAGCAGUUAAUGAGAUGUCAAGCAGGAACAAGGCCCUUACCUUCAUGCCUACCGAUGGCACCAAUGGAGAGGAAAACUGACCUUGAGAUGGCAAUCUCCCCAAUGUCUUUCUGAAGUGUGAGUAGAUCAGGCUAUUUACUGUACUAACAUUUAAUUUAACACUUACCCUAAAAUGUUGUUGUUUCUAAUUAAUUGUCAAUGCACAAAAGCCUUAACAAUUUACAGGCCACUUCACGUAAUUAUUAUAAUUAAAGCUUCCUCAAACAUUAAGCUAAUUAGUACACUUUUAAUUGUCAUUUUGAUUUAACUUUAAAACCCCAAAUACUGUUGACUAAUACACUAAUUAAUAUCCUAAUUACUAAUAAAAAAGGUAAUGAAGAAAAGUUAUUCUAAUUACUAAUAAAAAAGGUAAUGAAGAAAAGUUAUUAUACUAAUUAAUAAUAAACACUGUCUUUUACCUCACAAAUACUUUUUAUAUAUUUGGGUUAUUGCCUGGCAAUUAUCUCUUGCUUACAUAAAUUAUACAUUUUUAAAUUCCAGAGUAGAAACAAAGCAUUUGUGUGGCGAAGGUGUCUACAUGGUAAUGCAUUUCAUAAGGAAUCUGAUGGGGUUUUUUUUUUGCUGUUUGGCUUUGAAGGAAAAAAAACAUGCCUCAUAGUAAGGUACAACGAAUUCCAAAUUCAGAGCUGAAUUUGGUUGCUUUUCUAAUAUGUGCCCACAUAUGAAACACCUUCCCUUGUUUGUUUUUUCAUCCUGAAAUGAAGAAUCCUAAACAAAUGAUUAAACUCCAGUAGAAACAGAUUAAUAUAUCCACUUGGAUAACUUGUUUCCAUUCUGCUCAGAUGAAUUACACAAUAAUUAUCUUAUUACAUUAAAUCCUUACAACAGAGCAUAAGUAAAGUAAAGUAAAAUGCAUGUUUGUCCAUUGUCAAUGAGUUUCCAUGUUAGGCCAUAUGAUUUGUUAGUCAUACUUGGUAUUUCGUUAACUGGAAAUACGUUUACUGGAAAUUAAGUCUUUAAUCUUAAUAAUGGGCCCCAAGGAUGUCUUAUCUCCUCACAGCAGCAUUUUAAUGUGCCUGUUGGCCUGCUGUCCCCGUGUUGUACCUGGAGGCUAUCGUACCUCAACCGUGUGACACAUUCUUACCACCUGUCGAGCUUCAACCGUGAACUUCAGGUCACCUGCUUGGUAUGUGCUUGAGACCGUGUUGACUGUUGUCCCCCUGCUCUGGCAGACAUAGUAAUCACCCAUCUCGCAGAAAGAACAUGCAGCUGCACCCAAACAAUCAACAAUAGGAGGCUUAUGUGGACCAGCAAAGGUCUGCUGCCCUUUUGGAUGGUGGAGUAUAAAUAUUACAGGGUUUCACAAGAUGUUUGUCCUAUAUAAUUCCCGUCAAAUGUUAAGUAUUUGUAAUGCUUUAAUUCUUGCUAUACGGAUGGAAUUUUUUAAAGCACCACACAUUUAUUUUCAAAUGGUUACCAAAGUCAAAGAUGGAGAGGGUACAAAACAAACAAUUUAAGUGCGUGGGUGGGAAGGUGUAGUGGUUGUUGGCUAAAAUGUUUUCGUGUUGAACGCGCACACACACGCAGACGCACACGCGCACACACACACACACACACACACACACACACACACUCACACACUCAAAAUUCUUCACUUAAGUUUUGAAAUAAUAAAUCCAAAUGCUUUCAACCCCAAAGUGGGACCUUUUAAAAUCAAACUAGUGAAGAAAGCCAGUCAUAUGCAUUUGCUGAUCUGUCAACAUUGAUUAUGCAAAUUACAAUUAAGGCUAAGAAAGCCAGGUAGAUUUAUUUUUGGGGGAGAUUUAGAAUUAAUAAAUGUGUUCAAUGUUGUCUUUGUGACAUUUUCACAUUACAGCCCUGUUCUUGUGUAUUUUUCUGUGUAUAUGCCUGCAUGUGUGUGAGUAAAUUAUUAUUCAUUACAAUGCAAAAUUUGAAAGUGUAUUGGCAC